rnacentral:rRNA from 1 species
AGAGUUUGAUCCUGGCUCAGAUUGAACGCUGGCGGCAGGCUCAACACAUGCAAGUCGAGCGGUAACAUUUCUAGCUUGCUAGAAGAUGACGAGCGGCGGACGGGUGAGUAAUACUUAGGAAUCUACCUAGUAGUGGGGGAUAGCUCGGGGAAACUCGAAUUAAUACCGCAUACGACCUACGGGAGAAAGGGGGCAACUUGUUGCUCUCGCUAUUAGAUGAGCCUAAGUCGGAUUAGCUAGAUGGUGGGGUAAAGGCCUACCAUGGCGACGAUCUGUAGCUGGUCUGAGAGGAUGAUCAGCCACACCGGGACUGAGACACGGCCCGGACUCCUACGGGAGGCAGCAGUGGGGAAUAUUGGACAAUGGGGGAAACCCUGAUCCAGCCAUGCCGCGUGUGUGAAGAAGGCCUUUUGGUUGUAAAGCACUUUAAGCAGUGAAGAAGACUCUUCGGUUAAUACCCGGAGACGAUGACAUUAGCUGCAGAAUAAGCACCGGCUAACUCUGUGCCAGCAGCCGCGGUAAUACAGAGGGUGCAAGCGUUAAUCGGAAUUACUGGGCGUAAAGCGAGCGUAGGUGGCUUGAUAAGUCAGAUGUGAAAUCCCCGGGCUUAACCUGGGAACUGCAUCUGAUACUGUCAGGCUAGAGUAGGUGAGAGGAAGGUAGAAUUCCAGGUGUAGCGGUGAAAUGCGUAGAGAUCUGGAGGAAUACCGAUGGCGAAGGCAGCCUUCUGGCAUCAUACUGACACUGAGGCUCGAAAGCGUGGGUAGCAAACAGGAUUAGAUACCCUGGUAGUCCACGCCGUAAACGAUGUCUACUAGUCGUUGGGUCCCUUGAGGACUUAGUGACGCAGCUAACGCAAUAAGUAGACCGCCUGGGGAGUACGGCCGCAAGGUUAAAACUCAAAUGAAUUGACGG